rnacentral:rRNA from 1 species
AUGCGAUGCAUUAUGCAUACGGCGCGUCAGUGUCACUCUGAACUGUGCCGUUCUGAAACUGGAGCUACCGCUCAAAGCAUGGAGUCAUUGCAGCUCCACCAGCUCCUCCUCACUCUCCUGGCCAUUGUCGUCCCUCUCCUAUGCCUCAACCGCGCGGUGCGCCGGCACCGCGAGGGUGCCCGCUUGCUGCCACCGUCUCCGUGGUCACUCCCGGUCAUCGGCCACCUCCACCACCUCGUGAGUGAUCUGCCGCACCGCGCCAUGCGCGACCUGGCGCGACGCCACGGCCCGCUCCUGCUGCUCCGCCUCGGCGGCCUCCCCGUCGUGGUCGCCUCCUCCGCGGACGCCGCGCGCGAGGUCAUGGUGGCGCGCGACGUCGACUUUGCUUGCAGGAGGAGGAGGAGGAGGAGGAGGAGGAGGAGGAGGAGGAGGAGAUCUGAAGCUUUGGAAAAUUUGAAGAUCUAUAAAGCUGAGAUUGAAAAUCAGCUCAACCAAAAGAUCAAAGUAGUACAGUUUUAUCACGGGCAGAAUAUUAGGCAUGCUCCUUACUAG